GGGUCUCCCCCCGUGAGCUUCGUGCCGGCGGACCUGGUGAAGUGGAGCGUUAGCGUGACCACAGAGGGACGUAAUGUUUCAGGGAAGAAGGAAAGCAAGUAGACGGAGAGAAUCCGGAACCUGAAGAGUAUCGGUACUGAAAUGUGGGUUCGGCCGGCAGUACCCUGUGGGUCCGAAACUUUGGUCCGGCCUAGGUGUGAAUGACAGAGGUGGUGCCAUCCAGCUCCCUCAGCGAGGUCAGCCUGCGUCUCCUCUGCCACGAUGACAUAGACACCGUGAAGCACCUGUGCGGCGACUGGUUCCCCAUCGAUUACCCAGACUCAUGGUAUCGUGAUAUCACCUCCAACAAGAAGUUCUUUUCCCUCGCCGCAACCUACAGGGGCGCCAUCGUGGGAAUGAUCGUGGCUGAAAUAAAAAGUAGGACCAAGAUACACAAGGAGGAUGGAGAUAUUCUAGCCUCCAGCUUCUCUGUUGACACACAGGUUGCGUACAUCCUAAGCCUGGGAGUAGUGAAGGAAUUCAGAAAGCACGGCAUAGGUUCCCUAUUACUUGAGAGUUUAAAGGAUCACAUAUCAACCACCGCCCAGGACCACUGCAAAGCCAUCUACCUGCAUGUCCUCACUACCAACAAUACGGCUAUAAACUUCUACGAAAACAGAGACUUCAAGCAGCAUCACUAUCUCCCCUAUUACUAUUCCAUCCGAGGGGUCCUCAAAGAUGGCUUCACCUAUGUCCUCUACAUCAACGGUGGCCACCCUCCCUGGACCAUCCUGGACUACAUCCAGCACCUGGGCUCUGCGCUAGCAAACCUGAGCCCCUGUUCCAUCCCGCACAGGAUCUACCGCCAGGCCCACAGCCUGCUCUGCAGCUUCCUGCCAUGGUCAAGCAUCUCCACCAAGGGCGGCAUCGAGUACAGCCGGACCAUGUGACGCCAGCCGGGCAGUCUCUGCCAGGCCCCACCCCUCGGCACCCUGUGGAAACCGCCUUCCCGGCCAUCUGACUUCUGCUGUCAUCUGCAGAGGAGCCAGUGGGCACCUGCCAGGCCCGUCGGCCUGCCCCAGCUGCAGGCCCGGUGCUACGUGGGCUCAGGAGAAGAGAGUCAAGGGGCGUGCCCGGUCUCCCCCAGGCUCCUCCAGCCCUCCUUCCCAAUCUGGAAACCUUCACUUCUGCUGAGCCCUGGCCGGGCCCCCGCACGUGCUCCAGCCCCACGGGCACCUGGGGGUGGCAGUGUUCACUGUGGUCUGUUUCUUCUGCUGCCCUGGGAGCAAGGGCAUGGGAAAGGGCUUCCUUCCCCACGCCCCUCACCGGCCUCUUCCCCUCCACUGCCUGAUCCUUCCAGCUCCUUCCUCCAAAGUUGGAAUAAACUUCUGGGAGGGAGGAACCCAAGUGUUACGGACAGACUUGACCCUAAAGACACAGGAGCCUCUGAACAAUGAGGGGUCGAAAUAACGGGAAGGCCAGCCCCUGGUCCAAAACCAGCACCCAGAAGCCCGGGGGGCAGAGAGCAGCCCCGGUCUCUCCAGCCGGGGCUGACACUUGCUGGGCACAGCUGAGGAGGCUUCUUACCCACACACUGAGCUCUGGGGCUUCGCUCCCCAUGUGUGCGGGCGGAUAACGAGACAGAUGCCCACAUGCCCGCUAGGAGGCUGAGUCCUCCCGCAGCCUCUUCCCACGGGCUGCUUCAUUCUGUCCCGAGCGAUUGGAACCGCCUGUCAGAUGGUGGAUGUGCCAUUCAGCUGAGCUGCCGCAGGGAGCUGGGCUGAGGACAGGCGCCGCUGAGGGCCUGGGGGUUGUCUCCCCCAGCCCCCCAGCCCCCCAGCCCCAUGAGCAGCAGCUCCGGGGCCUGGCCAGGUGCAGACGGGACGAAGCUGAGCACCACCAUGACCAAGUGAGACCCGGCCUUUGGGGCUGGGGACAGUCACGUGCCUUGUGGUCCCUCCACCUCUGGGGCAGAGACAGUGCCUGGAAGUGUGCACGUGGACGGCACGUGCUCCUGGUGUCCCUUCUGCCAGGGCCCCUAGAGCUGCUUGCUGCCUGGCCUGCCCUUCCGGAGCAGAGGGGAUGGCACAGAGUCUCACGCCGGACGAGAGCAGGAGACGGGAACACCCCAGGUGGGGGCUCCGUGACCGUGUCCUUCCUUCCCUCAGAACUUCCCGGCCCUGGGCUCCUGCGGCCUCACCGGUGGAUCCCGGGCAGGAAGGGCACUCCAUCUCCCCGCACUCCCCACCUCGACGCUGACAUUGGUUUCAUGCUGAGGCCCAACUGGGUGUCCUCUCUAAUCUGAAUCAAAGAUCAUGUGAUUUUUAUUUCUGCCCCUCAGGGUAAGGGAAGAGUCUUCCAGAAGGUUCUGCCUUGGACAUUCGUAAUUGAGCUCAGAGGCCUUGCCCUGCCCCUCCCUCCUCGCCUCCUUAUCACUGCAGUGUCCAGCCCAGUGUUGAACAGAUUAUGGUGUUUUGUCUUACUACAAACAAAUAAAUAGACUUUAAUUGGUCA